rnacentral:rRNA from 1 species
AUUGAACGCUGGCGGCAGGCCUAACACAUGCAAGUCGAACGAGUGGCGGACGGGUGAGUAAUGUCUGGGAAACUGCCUGAUGGAGGGGGAUACCUACUGGAAACGGUAGCUAAUACCGCAUACCCUAAGAUGUGCUCAGAUGGGAUUAGCUUGUUGGUGGGGUAACGGCUAACCAAGGCGACGAUCCCUAGCUGGUCUGAAAGGGUGACCGGCCACACUGGAACUGAGAAACGGUCCAGACUCCUACGGGAGGCAGCAGUGGGGGAUAUUGCACAAUGGGCGAAAGCCUGAUGCAGCCAUGCCGCGUGUAUGAAGAAGGCCUUCGGGUUGUAAAGUACUUUCAGCGGGGAGGCGUUACCCGCAGAAGAAGCACCGGCUAACUCCGUGCCAGCAGCCGCGGUAAUUC